rfam:Bombyx mori DNA, contig: Bm_scaf22_contig15150, strain: p50T/Dazao, build 2, whole genome shotgun sequence.
UUAAUCCAAAUUUUGUAUGCGGUUGGAACAACGCCUCUAGUGGUAAACGUUCCAACUCCAUACAAAUUUGAGUUA